CCUUGAAAUACCACCCUUUAAUGUUUGAUGUUCUAACGUUGGCCCCUGAUCGGGGUUGCGGACAGUGUCUGGUGGGUAGUUUGACUGGGGCGGUCUCCUCCUAAAGAGUAACGGAGGAGCACGAAGGUUGGCUAAUCCUGGUCGGACAUCAGGAGGUUAGUGCAAUGGCAUAAGCCAGCUUGACUGCGAGCGUGACGGCGCGAGCAGGUGCGAAAGCAGGUCAUAGUGAUCCGGUGGUUCUGAAUGGAAGGGCCAUCGCUCAACGGAUAAAAGGUACUCCGGGGAUAACAGGCUGAUACCGCCCAAGAGUUCAUAUCGACGGCGGUGUUUGGCACCUCGAUGUCGGCUCAUCACAUCCUGGGGCUGAAGUAGGUCCCAAGGGUAUGGCUGUUCGCCAUUUAAAGUGGUACGCGAGCUGGGUUUAGAACGUCGUGAGACAGUUCGGUCCCUAUCUGCCGUGGGCGCUGGAGAACUGAGGGGGGCUGCUCCUAGUACGAGAGGACCGGAGUGGACGCAUCACUGGUGUUCGGGUUGUCAUGCCAAUGGCACUGCCCGGUAGCUAAAUGCGGAAGAGAUAAGUGCUGAAAGCAUCUAAGCACGAAACUUGCCCCGAGAUGAGUUCUCCCUGAGACUUUAAGUCUCCUGAAGGAACGUUGAAGACGACGACGUUGAUAGGCCGGGUGUGUAAGCGCAGCGAUGCGUUGAGCUAACCGGUACUAAUGAACCGUGAGGCUUAACCUUACAACGCCGAAGGUGUUU
rnacentral:rRNA from 1 species